GAACAAAAUGGCGAGGUUGGGGGGCGGGAUUGUGCAGGAGACUGUUGGAGGAAUACAGCAGUUAAUGGAGGAUUCUAAUAAGCAUUAA
rnacentral:lncRNA from 1 species